UACAGAGGUCCCAAGCGCUGUUCGGAUUCACUGGGCGUAAAGGGUGCGUAGGUGGUGAGGUAAGUCGGAUGUGAAAUCUCCGAGCUCAACUCGGAAAUGGCAUUGGAAACUACCUUGCUAGAGGGUUGGAGGGGGGACUGGAAUGCUUGGUGUAGCAGUGAAAUGCGUAGAUAUCGAGAGGAACACCUGCGGCGAAGGCGGGUUGCUGGGCCGACACUGACGCUGAUGCGCGAAAGCCAGGGGAGCGAACGGG
rnacentral:rRNA from 1 species